AUUUUAUUGAAUCAUACUGAUGAACCACUCUGCUUACUUUUUCCCCAGAUAACCUGAAACUGAGGCAAAGAUCACGAAGGCUUGCAAAAAUAAGCUUGCUUGAGUGGAGAGUAGAAAAUAUACCUGAAAAACAAGUUUCAGGUUCACAUAUUUGCAAUACCUGAAACCUGACUCUGGGAAUGAUGCACCACUACUAUCUGAAAAUAGGAAAAUGCUGGGUAGAGCACAAGCCUGGUCAAAACAGCUCCGGUUUACAGCUACAUGCACAAUUAGCUACCGGAAAAUGAGCCACAAACCAAGAGUUUGGUGGCAGGACAUUUUGAGCAGACAUUUCUGAAUAACGAAGCCCAGUUCUGUAAACAGGUCUCAGACACCUGUUUGUGUCUCCCUGCUCUUGCCCUUCCCUCUUUCACAUCAAAAGAAAUGCUUUCCCUUUGGCCUAGCUUUCAUCUGCAAACUAUGGAAUUUAUCAAGCUCUCUAUGAGGUUAUCCACUGCUUUUGAUGCAAGCUAGAUCAGACGAGAGAUAUGCAGAGGCACCUUUAUGGCUUUUCCUCUCCAACUUCCCACUUUAAGAUCAGUAAUUAUACUGUUUAAUUAUAAAUAACCUGACACAUAUCUGCCCUCUCUGAAUUACACGUGUGUUUUCAGUUAGCAGACUCUGCGUUGGACUGUGAGCUUGGCAAGAGGUGAGUGUGGCUCUCUGUUUUCUCACCCACAGCUGUUCCCAACUCUUUUGGGGAUGCUGUGCUCCUGCCUGGCACACUGGCACAGCAGAGGAAUGAGGACUUCCAGGAACGGGCCAUUUAGCUUGUCUUCCAAAAGAGGAAAAGGAGGCUAGCAACCCUUUUGGUUUCAUCAAAAAUGCUAGUAGUGGGUGCCAGUGUUGAAAGGCAAACCAGUUUCAGGCUGCUUCCUACACCAUCUGCAUCUGCUUCCAUCUGCAUGAAGAAACUUCUGAUAGGGUUCCCUUGAUGGAGGAAAACUUCUCAACCCUCUACUUACCAGUGAUUCUUUUCUUUGGUGGUGGUGUUGUAAUGCAGGCGUGUGCUAGAGCUGUUACGGUCCCUUCACACUGGACUGAAAGUUCCUUUUAUUUUUUCCCUUGUUAGGUGCAUCAGGCAAAGUGAUGAAAACUUUAGCAGCUGGUAUGUGUGGUAAGUUUCAGAUCUGUUCUAGAAGGGAAAACUGGCAAAUAAUAUUCUUUGAUGGGUAUAGAAACAGGAAGGCAUUAAGAGAGACUGAUAGCUAAAGAGCAUUGCUCCUGGGCUGUCCCUGUGUUCUGUCUUUACUGACUAAUGGGAAUCAUUUAUCCAUAUCCUCCUCACUGUACGUUGACAACUGAGCUGCACAAAACCAAUGAACGAUUUUAGGGAGAAAUGUUUGAAUUUCCAGCCAGCACUCAGCGCUGAGCACUCAGCACUGAGACACUGGUUUCUGGGGACUUUGAUCAUGUCCAGUGCACUGGUGGGGAAACUGCAACAUUUAACAGCUAUUUGCAAAAGAAGUUAAUGAAUAUGUUAAUUUGAAGACAUGCAGCCAUCUGUCAGUGCUGCCUGCAGAUGGUGAUGGCACUGUUCCUCCCCUGCUGCCUCUGCCUCAGGUUCCUGAUGUUGUUUUUCCUGGCCUUGCUCCUGUCCUGCGGGAUCUGCUGCUGCCUGCAGUGCUGGCUGAAACGGGGGAGCUGCCUCCCCCACCGACGCACCCUGGCCGUCUUCGCACUCAGCAGUUCAGAUGCCUUUUGCGGUUAGUCCUCUCCCUACCUGCUGC
ensembl:lncRNA